UCUGUUUAACUUUUUCUCUAUGAUUGAAAAUUGGUUUCAGUUGAUAUAUAUCUGCACUUAUAUAGUUAUAUGGUCUGAUUUGCAGUUUAAUUAUGGCUGCAAAAGACCAGGACCCAUAGAAUUUAGUUAUAUUAUUGCCACUGCCUCCUACUCUGCUCCCUUUGCAGUAUAUCAUCAAUAAUAAAAGCCUAUGGCGACAUGUAUGCAGAACCUUCAGCAAGGAAAGCUGGCCAUCAAUCUGCAAAUAAAGGACAGUGGCUACAGGAAUACCAAUUGCUUCUGGGCCUGUUUGUUUCUCCAUCUGGAUGGACCUUUUCGAUGAAGAUGAGAGUUUUGUUUGUUUAAGCACUAAAAGUGCAACUUGGAUCAUCCGGAUGACUUUUGGAAAUUUAGGUUUAGUUUUAAAGUUCAUUCAGCUGAACCAAUUUGGAUCAUUUGAAUGGAGAUGGUUCAUUCAAAAUGGUAUAAUGUCUAUUAUAUCCCUAAUGUAAUUCACAAAUUACCUAAACAUAAUAUCAUUUUUGUCACAAACGAAAACUGACAAAACUACAAAAACAAUUUUUCCCAUGCUAAAAAAUUAUUUUUUCACGUCAAAACCCCAAAACACAUUUUUCCGCUAAAAUUGCAAAAAAAUGUUUUCCCGUCAAAAUUGCAAAAACGUGUUUUUCCACAAAAACUGAAAAAUAUGUUUUCAUGCCAAAAUCACAAAAAAAAUAUUUUCACGCCAACACCCCAAAAUACAUUUUUCCGCCAAAACACAAAAAUGUGUUUUCCCGCCAAAGUCGCAAAACGUGUUUUCCCGCCAAAAUUGCAAAAAUGUGUUUUUCCGCCAAAACCAAAAAAAAAAAAGUGUUUUCUCGCCAAAACCGAAAAUUUCUAUUUUCCCGCCAAAACCAAAAAAUCUCGUUUUCCCACGAAAAUCGUAAAAAUGUGUUCCCGCCAAACACGCGUUUUCUCGCCAAACCGCAAAAACGCGUUUUCUCGCCAAAACCGCAAAAACGCGUUUUUCCGCCAAAAUUGUAAAAGCAAAUUUUUCCCGCCAAAAUCGCAAAAAACGUGUUUCUCUCCAAAAACGCAAAAAACGCGUUUUCCCAUAAAAAAUGUGUUUUCCGCCAAAACUGCAAAAACGCGUUUUCCCGCCAAAACCGCAAAAAGCGUUUUUCCGCCAAAAUCGCAAAAACGUGGUUCCCUCCAAAACCGCAAAAACGUGUUCUCGCCAAAAACGUGUUUUCCCGCCAAAACUGCAAAAACUUGUUU